rnacentral:misc_RNA from 1 species
GGGAGAAUCUUUUUUCUCGGUAAGGAAGAGAGGAAGGGUUCUUAACCAUGCAAUGAACGUCUAGAAAGAGUAUGAACACUAGCUCUUCAAAUUUCUACACGUACAAAUUUUCCUUUACAUUAGGCUUUUCCCAUUGGAUCUUAGUGAUCAUGAAACAGGCAACUCCCCUUCUCCCUAACGCAUUGCAGGGGACUUGAGAAGUUGAAACGACGAAGCAAUCGGAUCCUGGGGCAACUUUCCAC